rnacentral:rRNA from 1 species
UAGGGAAUCUUCCACAAUGGGCGCAAGUCUGAUGGAGCAACACCGCGUGAGUGAAGAAGGGUUUCGGCUCGUAAAGCUCUGUUGUUAAAGAAGAACACGUAUGAGAGUAACUGUUCAUACGUUGACGGUAUUUAACCAGAAAGUCACGGCUAACUACGUGCCAG